rnacentral:rRNA from 1 species
AAAGGAUAGCUAAUACCGCAUACGCCCUACGGGGGAAAGAGGGGGAUCGCAAGACCUCUUGUUAUUGGAGCGGCCGAUGGCUGAUUAGCUAGUUGGUGAGGUAAAGGCUCACCAAGGCGACGAUCAGUAGCGGGUCUUAGAGGACGAUCCGCCACACUGGAACUGAGACACGGUCCAGACUCCUACGGGAGGCAGCAGUGGGGAAUCUUGGACAAUGGGCGCAAGCCUGAUCCAGCAAUGCCGCGUGCGUGAAGAAGGCCUUCGGGUUGUAAAGCGCUUUUGUCAGGGAGCAAAAGGUGGUGGCUAAUAUCCAUCGCUCUUGAGAGUACCUGAAGAAUAAGGACCGGCUAACUACGUGCCAGCAGCCGCGGUAAUACGUAGGGUCCAAGCGUUAAUCGGAAUUACUGGGCGUAAAGCGUGCGCAGGUGGUUUGUUAAGCACGAUGUGAAAUCCCC